rnacentral:rRNA from 1 species
AUUGAACGCUGGCGGCAGGCCUAACACAUGCAAGUCGAGCGGAUGAAGGGAGCUUGCUCCUGGAUUCAGCGGCGGACGGGUGAGUAAUGCCUAGGAAUCUGCCUGGUAGUGGGGGAUAACGUCCGGAAACGGGCGCUAAUACCGCAUACGUCCUGAGGGAGAAAGUGGGGGAUCUUCGGACCUCACGCUAUCAGAUGAGCCUAGGUCGGAUUAGCUAGUUGGUGGGGUAAAGGCCUACCAAGGCGACGAUCCGUAACUGGUCUGAGAGGAUGAUCAGUCACACUGGAACUGAGACACGGUCCAGACUCCUACGGGAGGCAGCAGUGGGGAAUAUUGGACAAUGGGCGAAAGCCUGAUCCAGCCAUGCCGCGUGUGUGAAGAAGGUCUUCGGAUUGUAAAGCACUUUAAGUUGGGAGGAAGGGCAGUAAGUUAAUACCUUGCUGUUUUGACGUUACCAACAGAAUAAGCACCGGCUAACUUCGUGCCAGCCGCCGCAGUAAAAC